rfam:Synechococcus elongatus PCC 6301 DNA, complete genome.
UGUAACUAAAUAGCAUUACCAGAGACAGCAGGUGUUGCACCGCAACUGAAGCAUCCUGCCGAGGUAGUCCCCACAGUCUUCGUACUGUUGAUCUAUUUCGCUCUGGCAACCGAAUUUGCCGGAGCUUUUUUGUUGCAAGA